CUACAGGCUUAACACAUGCAAGUCGAGGGGCAGCAUGGUCUUAGCUUGCUAAGGCCGAUGGCGACCGGCGCACGGGUGAGUAACACGUAUCCAACCUGCCGUCUACUCUUGGACAGCCUUCUGAAAGGAAGAUUAAUACAAGAUGGCAUCAUGAGUCCGCAUGUUCACAUGAUUAAAGGUAUUCCGGUAGACGAUGGGGAUGCGUUCCAUUAGAUAGUAGGCGGGGUAACGGCCCACCUAGUCUUCGAUGGAUAGGGGUUCUGAGAGGAAGGUCCCCCACAUUGGAACUGAGACACGGUCCAAACUCCUACGGGAGGCAGCAGUGAGGAAUAUUGGUCAAUGGGCGAGAGCCUGAACCAGCCAAGUAGCGUGAAGGACGACUGCCCUAUGGGUUGUAAACUUCUUUUAUAAAGGAAUAAAGUCGGGUAUGGAUACCCGUUUGCAUGUACUUUAUGAAUAAGGAUCGGCUAACUCCGUGCCAGCAGCCGCGGUAAUACGGAGGAUCCGAGCGUUAUCCGGAUUUAUUGGGUUUAAAGGGAGCGUAGAUGGAUGUUUAAGUCAGUUGUGAAAGUUUGCGGCUCAACCGUAAAAUUGCAGUUGAUACUGGAUAUCUUGAGUACAGUUGAGGUAGGCGGAAUUCGUGGUGUAGCGGUGAAAUGCUUAGAUAUCACGAAGAACUCCGAUUGCGAAGGCAGCUUACUAACCUGUAACUGACAUUGAUGCUCGAAAGUGUGGGUAUCAAACAGGAUUAGAUACCCUGGUAGUCCACACGGUAAACGAUGAAUACUCGCUGUAGGCGAUAUACAGUCUGCGGCCAAGCGAAAGCAUUAAGUAUUCCACCUGGGGAGUACGCCGGCAACGGUGAAACUCAAAGGAAUUGACGGGGGCCCGCACAAGCGGAGGAACAUGUGGUUUAAUUCGAUGAUACGCGAGGAACCUUACCCGGGCUUAAAUUGCAGAUGAAUUACGGUGAAAGCCGUAAGCCGCAAGGCAUCUGUGAAGGUGCUGCAUGGUUGUCGUCAGCUCGUGCCGUGAGGUGUCGGCUUAAGUGCCAUAACGAGCGCAACCCUUGUUGUCAGUUACUAACAGGUUCCGCUGAGGACUCUGACAAGACUGCCAUCGUAAGAUGUGAGGAAGGUGGGGAUGACGUCAAAUCAGCACGGCCCUUACGUCCGGGGCUACACACGUGUUACAAUGGGGGGUACAGAGGGCCGCUACCACGCGAGUGGAUGCCAAUCCCCAAAACCUCUCUCAGUUCGGACUGGAGUCUGCAACCCGACUCCACGAAGCUGGAUUCGCUAGUAAUCGCGCAUCAGCCACGGCGCGGUGAAUACGUUCCCGGGCCUUGUACACACCGCCCGUCAAGCCAUGGGAGCCGGGGGUACCUGAAGUGCGUAACCGCGAGGAGCGCCCUAGGGUAAAACUGGUGACUGGGGCUA
rnacentral:rRNA from 1 species